rnacentral:rRNA from 1 species
AUACGUAGGGGGCGAGCGUUGUCCGGAAUGACUGGGCGUAAAGGGCGUGUAGGCGGCCGAUUAAGUCUGGAGUGAAAGUCCUGCUUUCAAGGUGGGAAUUGCUUUGGAGACUGGUUGGCUUGAGUGCGGAAGAGGUAAGUGGAAUUCCCAGUGUAGCGGUGAAAUGCGUAGAGAUUGGGAGGAACACCAGUGGCGAAGGCGACUUACUGGGCCGUAACUGACGCUGAGGCGCGAAAGCGUGGGGAGCGAACAGGAUUAGAUACCCUGGUAGUCCACGCGGUAAACGAUGAAUGCUAGGUGUAGGGGGUAUCGACUCCCUCUGUGCCGCAGUUAACACAAUAAGUAAUCCACCUGGGGAGUACGGCCGCAAGGUUGAAACUCAAAGGAAUUGACGGGG